GCCUUGAAAGCUUGGAGAUUAAGCAGUUGGUCUUGUAAAUCAGAAGGGAGGGUUAAAUCCCCUCUCAAGGCU
rnacentral:tRNA from 1 species